rnacentral:rRNA from 1 species
AUGAACGCUGGCGGCGUGCCUAAUACAUGCAAGUCGCGCGAACGGACGAGAAGCUUGCUUCUCUGAUGUUAGCGGCGGACGGGUGAGUAACACGUGGAUAACCUACCUAUAAGACUGGGAUAACUUCGGGAAACCGGAGCUAAUACCGGAUAAUAUUUUGAACCGCAUGGUUCCAAAGUGAAAGACGGUCUUGCUGUCACUUAUAGAUGGAUCCGCGCUGCAUUAGCUAGUUGGUAAGGUAACGGCUUACCAAGGCAACGAUGCAUAGCCGACCUGAGAGGGUGAUCGGCCACACUGGAACUGAGACACGGUCCAGACUCCUACGGGAGGCAGCAGUAGGGAAUCUUCCGCAAUGGGCGAAAGCCUGACGGAGCAACGCCGCGUGAGUGAUGAAGGUCUUCGGAUCGUAAAACUCUGUUAUUAGGGAAGAACAUAUGUGUAAGUAACUGUGCACAUCUUGACGGUACCUAAUCAGAAAGCCACGGCUAACUACGUG